rnacentral:sRNA from 1 species
AAAAACUGCCUUUCAGGCAUCCUCUCCUAAAACUUUCAUAGGCCGGUCGUUCGCGAUCGGCCUCUUUUUUGCGCUCC